rnacentral:rRNA from 1 species
UACGAAGGGGGCUAGCGUUGCUCGGAAUCACUGGGCGUAAAGGGUGCGUAGGCGGGUCUUUAAGUCAGGGGUGAAAUCCUGGAGCUCAAACUCCAGAACUGCCUUUGAUACUGAAGAUCUUGAGUUCGGGAGAGGUGAGUGGAACUGCGAGUGUAGAGGUGAAAUUCGUAGAUAUUCGCAAGAACACCAGUGGCGAAGGCGGCUCACUGGCCCGAUACUGACGCUGAGGCACGAAAGCGUGGGGAGCAAACAGGG